GCCGGAAUGGCUCAGUGAUUGAGCAUCAGCCUAUGAACCAGGAGGUCGGGGUUCAAUUCCCGGUCAGGGCA
rnacentral:tRNA from 1 species